UUCGUCGACGACGACGAACUCAUCAGCUACAUCAUCGCUGGUCUCGAAGAGGAUUACAAACCUGUGAUCCAAUGUAUCGUUGGGCGUCCAGAUCAAGUCACCGUCGGCGAGGCCUUUGCUCAGCUUCUAUGCUUUGAGC
rfam:Oryza meridionalis cultivar OR44 (W2112) chromosome 2, whole genome shotgun sequence.